GCCACCCUAGCUCAACUGGCAGAGCAUCCGAUUUGUAAUCGGAAGGUUAUCGGUUCGAUUCCGAUGGGUGGCUCCA
rnacentral:tRNA from 1 species